rnacentral:rRNA from 1 species
AACGUAGGAGGCGAGCGUUAUCCGGAUUUACUGGGCGUAAAGCGCGUGUAGGCGGUUUGAUAAGUUGGAUGUGAAAGCUCCUGGCUUAACUGGGAGAGGUCGUUCAAAACUGUCAGACUUGAGAGUGGUAGAGGGAGGUGGAAUUCCGGGUGUAGUGGUGAAAUGCGUAGAUAUCCGGAGGAACACCAGUGGCGAAAGCGGCCUCCUGGACCAUUUCUGACGCUCAGACGCGAAAGCUAGGGUAGCAAACGGG